rnacentral:tRNA from 1 species
GCCGGGGUGGCCGAGUGGCAAGGCACGGGUCAGCGAGACUCGAGGACCAGUGUGUCCGACGCAGGUUCGAUUCCUGCCCACGGCA